rnacentral:rRNA from 1 species
UAAGGAAUAUUGGUCAAUGGACGCAAGUCUGAACCAGCCAUGCCGCGUGAAGGAUGAAGGUCCUCUGGAUUGUAAACUUCUUUUAUCUGGGACGAAAACGGGAUUUUUAUCUCAAUUGACGGUACCAGAGGAAUAAGCACCGGCUAACUCCGUGCCAGCAGCCGCGGUAAUACGGAGGGUGCGAGCGUUAUCCGGAUUUACUGGGAUUAAAGGGUGCGUAGGCGGACUAAUAAGUCAGUGGUGAAAGCCUGCAGCUUAACUGCAGAAUUGCCACUGAUACUGGUAGUCUUGAGUACAGUUGAGGUAGGCAGAAUGUGUCAUGUAGCGGUGAAAUGCUUAGAUAUGACACAGAACACCGAUUGCGAAGGCAGCUUGCUAAGCUGUAACUGACGCUGAGGCACGAAAGCGUGGGGAGCAAACA